AGAGUUCUGUAUUUGUGAUUGAAAACGGUACAAAUUGAGGGCGCUUUGAGUCCUCCUUUUUUCCCCACAUGAAACCUCCUCCACUCCUCUCUCAAUCCUCCUCUCAUACAAUGUUCUCUCCUUUCUAAUCUUCUUUUCUCCGGCCGGUUCUUCCUCCUCGGUGGUCGCCUCCUCUCGGAUCAGCCUCUCUCCGGACGGAUCUGUGUCUCCAGCUGUGUGGCUCCAGUCCCGUCGGCAGGGUCGGCCAUGUUGUUGUGUGGGGGUUGAUGUAAGUUUAGUAGUAGGAAGUGGAGAAGCGACAAAGGGUUGGGACACUUCAGGACCUCACUUUUCUCCCUUUCCUCUCUUUUUACCCCCCUCUUCAUCACCUCUGUCAUGCCUCCGCUGACCGUUUCUUCUUCUUCUUCUUCUUCUUCUCCUCUGACAACAAUGAGCGUCUGCUCCGCCGCCUCCUCCGCCAUCCUCCGAGCCUGCAACACUUGUGCUGCUUUGAUUUAACUUUAGUCCUCCAAACCAAACCCUGCACACUUUGAUGGAUGAAGUGAGGAUGAAGGAGCCUCGGUCCUGUUUGGAAUAACUCUGAUUUUUUUAUUUCAAUUCACGGAUUGAAGAAGGAGGAGAAACCCCAGAAGGAGAAGAAGAAGAGGAGCGUGGAUUUGUGAAGGUAAAAAACCCUCAAAUGAAACGGGUCUUUGUCAAAGCUGGAUUAAAUGAGGAUGGGCCGAAAAGCAGUGCUCGCCUGUCUGACCUGUCAUCAACAAAGGAAUGAAAGAGUACAGUGGUUUUAUGAAUUAUUAGACUCCUGCUAUUUCCUCUAAAAAACAGGGAUAAUGUGUUUUUCUCCAUCACAUUAUGUCUAACAAGGUAGAAAUAUCAGUGAACACACAGCAUGUGCUUCAAUCCCACAGGAAUAUUAGUGCCAGCAUAUCAGAUUGUAGGUUUUAAGUAGGACAAGGUCACCACAUCACUGGUACUUAACAACAGUAUGACAUUAAAAGCAACUUAAACAUCCUAAUGUGGUCAUUUUAUAUGCUUUAAGAUCAUUUAAAGGUUAUAUAAGGAAAAGAAAAGGUGUUGUGUCACUUGCUUGUGUUUAUUCAAAGAGGGAAAAAAGUGCCACCUCAUCAUUUUCAAAUAUCUAACCCAGUUUUGUCAGUCAUGCUGAUUCAGAUUGUUGUCAGACGGCUGUAGGGUUAAAGGGGCAAAAGAGAGGAGGAGGAGGAGGAGGAGUAUGAUGAAGGAGGAGGAGGAGGUUCAGGCUCUUUUAGUGAUGCUGCCAAACUCUCUUGUGAUAGUGACAGUUUCUCCCCAGACUUCCCCAGUUUGCUCUGUUUCUCUAUUAUUCUUCUACUUUUCCACUUCCACCCCGAGAAUAAGUGAUGGGAUCUGUCCUCAUGAACGUCCAGAAUGAUAUACUCUAUGUAAACUGACUGGAGAACAUGCCCCAUGCAACGAAAUAUUGAAUGUCCCAGUCUGUUUGGUACGGUGGCCGAGAACCGCCACUGCUGCAAAUAAAAAAAAAGUCACAACGGAAGUUACUGAUGCAAAAAAAAAAAGAAACCAAAGCCCGCUGCAGAUAAAAGAAAGAAGUGGUGCAGAUAAAAAAGCCACAACGGAAGUUAACGACUUAAAAAAAAAAAGUGGCGAUGGAAAAAAAAAAAUUAACUGCGAAAAUAAAAGGAUAAAAUUUUGCCGGGGACCAAUAAUGAUGCUACUAUGGUGUCAUUUGGUUAGGCCAUGUAGCGCCUGAGUCAAUAUGAAGUUGAACUGAAGUUAAAACUACACCGGUAGCGAUAUUUUUUUGUAGGACGGUAGGGGAAAGUCCCGCCUCCUUCGCCUCUGAUUGGCUAGAAAAGCUGGAAACGUCAUCACACGCUCAAGUCAAAUCCAGGCUGUCGGCUCUGUUCAUCGUACAGGACAUUAUUGCACUUCUAAGUCUCCUAACCCUAACCCUAACACUCAUCCUAAUCCUAACCUGACAGACGAUGAUGUUUCACAGCUAUUAGGAAUAACCAAUCGGAGCCCAGCACUUCUAGCCAAUCAGAGGCAUCCUCCAGAUCAACUUCAUAUCGACUCGGGCACUACAAAGCCUAACCAAAUGACAGCAAAAUUAAACAAUAACGUUUCCACUAACUUCUUUGCUCGUUUUUGCCGUUGUCAUCUGUACCUAGAUCGUAAAACAUCUGUGCAUCAUUAUUAUAUCAUUUUGUUUGCUUUAUUUUUUUAAUUUGCAGUAGUGGCGUAGUUUAGACGCUGGUGAACAUUAGCUGAUGUACUUUCAAGGGGAAAAAACACUUAAUCGAAGAUAAAUGUUGAUCAAAUUCUGCUGAAACCGUCAAAUAUCAUUACAGGUCUAAAGUCUGAACCCCACCAACAGAUUAAAACUAAAAAUUAAAAGUGAAAGUCUCUCACUCGGGUGUAACAUCUGGUGAGGAUGUUAUGUUCAUUUACAUAACUGUUAGAAACACAGGAUUGUCAUUUUAAAUUGACAGUAAUUCUUUUAUAUAAUACCCAAACAGCUGAAUAAGGUCAGUCAACACAGUAUGAUAUUUAAUCCAUGUGGAGCAUUUGGUUGUUUUGUAAAAGCCAUGUCACAAAUUCAGUUUUACUCACAGGCAGUUAAAACCAUCUUUUGGUUUCUGUAGAGGUGAAGUCAGGCCAUUUUAAUCAUGCUGACCUGACUUAUCCUUCGGUCAACUUUAACACAAGCAAAGAGGUGAAGAGUCGCCUGUCGGACCAUUCAGUCAAAUCCAGUAUAACUCUAAUUCAGGGCUUGACACUAACUUUUUUACAAGGGGCACAUGUGCUCCUAAGUUGAAAAAGUAAGGAGCACAGAAAGAACUUUAGGGGAACAAUGAAAAUUGAUCAAAUACUAUGUGUCUUAUUGGUCGACACAAGUACUAUAACUUGAAAUCAAUUUUAGGUCAAUUGGUCUAUCCUCAACCGGCAAUUUAUUGAUGGUCCCUUAUUCAACAUCUGAUGUUGACAGCGAGAGUGCCGAAUAGAUAUAACCACGCUGCUGUUGCUAUUCCUGGUUUUGGAGAGUGAGAAGACAGCGGUAGAUCCUCAGUGAAUGUCGUCAGAUAUCCAACCUUAAACCAACUUUGCCGUGGUAUUUACAUGAAAAAACAUAAGUUGCCUCGGCUGAUUUUUUUUGUGGACAUGUGCCCCUUAUCACAUUUUACAGUUCGCACACAUCUAUUUUUAGUCGCAAAUGCGAGAUGAUGCGAAAUGGUCGUACUGUCGAGUCCUGUCUUAUUUCUCUUUUUAUUAGUAGAUUUGUUUAAAAAUCUUCAUCAGUUUGUACAAAGUUUACAAAUAAUGUGCCACACUCCCUUAACUGUCUAUCUAGUAAGGUUUAAACUUGUUUUGUUUCGCUUUAGAAUUGGUAUUUUAACAUUGGACUUAAUGGGGAUUGACUCCCUUUUGGAGCAGGCCUCAAGUGGACAUUCGAGGAACUGCAGGUUUUCUAACAUACCUGCUUUUGCUGCUUAUUUUUAGCCUCAGAAAAGAAUGUGGCGCUGACCCGAUUCUCCUAAAACCAAGUACUGACAUUUUUAGUGUUUGAAAUAAAAGAAGCUCUACUUUAUUUGAGAACCUUUGAGCGAGGCGUCAGCUGUACGAACACUGCUUUCGCUAAGCGGUAUAACAUUCUCAGCAACAACUGUCUCACCUGCCCAACCAUCACAACUCAGUGUUUGCUAGAUUCACCUUCAAGUAAGACAGCAGUAUCUGAUAAAACAUAUGCAAAACAGACGAUGGGAGAAGUCUGCUUUGAUCCUUUUUUCCCCCAGCCUCUUAAAACUUUCCAGCUUGGAGUGCAAAUCCUUUGAAUAAAGUGUUUUUUACGCUUACAUUAAAUAUUCAUCACCAGAUUACCUACAAAUACUCACAGACACCAUGGACUGAUCUUUUUCCAAAAUGUGGGGAAAUAUAUCUCAAAUGUUAGAUCUGAAACGUCUUUUUUUUAAAGCAAACGGAUAACGAUUUUCUUCCUAUCAGACAACAUGCGAUAAGUAGUUUGUGCGUGUAUGAAAAUGAAUCACAUUCUUGUGAGUUUCUGCUCCUUAAUCCAGACUAUCACAUGGCAUUCACAGUUACCCUGUUGACAGUUUAAACAAGCGGCCCUGUUGUGUCAGAUGAUAGUUGAAACACUCGGAUUCCCAAAAUAGCUCACACUUAUCCACGACUCAGGUGCCAGCAUUCAGGUAUUCCCAUGAGACCUGUUAUCCCAGAAAAUAUCUGAUGUCUGUUCUCUGGCAGCUCGAUACCUCACUCAGACUCCAAACAAAGCUUUUUAUACCAGGACUUGAAAAGACUGAGACUGAUAUAUUUCCAAGGAGAACAGGCGAGCACACUCCAGUCCCUCCAUUCAUUUCGCCUGAAUUUAGUAUUCCUCAAAUAUACCCCCUUUACGAAUUGUUUCAUGCCCUCUAACUGUUGUAAGCCUCUGGAUCACGUUACUGUGAGCAUGCCUGCAACAGAACUCUACACCCAGCACAGUGUAAAUCUCAUUACGAACCAUUUAUUGAUGUUACGCUCAACGCUCUCUGGCUUCACAUCCGUAACGUCACGUGACAUUUCUCCAGACCCGCUUUUAACUCUUUGGCAUCAGAGGAAUGUGGUAGAUGUUGGGUAGGCAGCAUCUGUUGCUGAUCUGAAGCCUAUUAAAGCUCCAGAGAUCCCCCCUCGUCUGCAGCCGCAUCGUCAGCUGCUAACAGCUGCCCGGCCCAGCAGAUCAAAACCUCAAAGUGUUUCCAGAAGUGAGAUGCUGAAGCACCAAAAUGUGUUUAAAGUUAUGUAUAAUUUAUGUUAUGCAAAUACAAAAACUCUGGGGGCUUAAGGUACCCAAAGCAGGUCUGUGUUGUACCUGACAGAACAGAGCUUUGAUGGUGAAAGGGGGGCAUUAAAGUUUUUAUACUGCAGCCAACGCAGAGAGUCUAACGCAGGAGGAAUACGUCUGUUUCCCUGGUCCUUUCCGCUUCAUGUGUUACAGGAUUUAUAGGCUUAUUCAAUCAACCUGAUUAGACUGAAAUGCAUGUACCCAGUCCAGAAGUUGUAAAUGCACAGACUUCUUUUCUGAGAUAAAGUAAAAUGUGCCUGACUUUUGCUAUUUCUACAUUUUCAAAGCCUUUUACUGCCAGUGAGUCCUAGGGAUCAGGUGAGUUGAUUAAAAACAUGAUAUAUUGAUGAUGUGUUUGACCCUGGGUUCAAAGGAAGACAAAAUAUUUCACUAGAAAGUACAAUUUAAGGAAGAUCAGCAAAAUUACAAGAUCCAGACGGGGUGCCAAAAUUUAGACAAAGCAAAGUUUGACAUGGAAGCUCUAAAUAGUUCAGUCUGGUUCUAUUGAGAAGUAUAAUUGAGUAUCAUCUGCAUAGCAGUCAAAAGUCAAGGUUGUUUCUCCAUAUUUGUUGAAAUAUUUCUGCAAGAGUCAUCAUGUUUGGUGCUAAUUUGCAAAUAUUAGUGAACUCGAGUUCCUGGGGUCUUGUUUGAGGAUGCCUUACAGGCAAUUUCCACCACAUCCGGAACAGCUACGAAAAGGCAGUAUCCGCCGAUCGUAGCUGAUCGUAACCAUUCAAGUCAAUGUGUCAACUUCCACUGGAUGCGGUGGAAAUCCCGGGUUACAAUGUCACAUGACUGAAAAUACACAAACAGAGUUAGCUAAACUAAACAUAACAUAGGGUGACUAUACGUCGUAUUUUAUCCAGACAAUUCCUCUUUUUGGGGGGCUGUCCAGCCUUUUCCAGCAGAGUUUAUAAAAUCCUCUAAAUGGGUUUUGUAUGGAAUUUCCGAGUUUGUGUCACAUGGACUUACUGAGUUAGAAGCACAUAAGUCACUCGAACCAACACAAAAAAUUCUCAAAAUUAACUUUCUGUAACUCUGUGACUCUGCCCCCGCGAAGUCGUGUCCGCAUUCAAACAUGUUUGGGGAUUCAGAAUAUGGUCACCCUACAUAAGAGCUUUUUUCACUACUAAAACUCCUGUGAGGGACAUUAGGACUUAUUUAUUUGCUGAUUUUGUCCUGUAGAUGAAAUUUUUUCCCCAUUUAACAUCUUAUCAUUCUUUCUGUCGACAUUUAUUCACAUCACAGACUAAACCAAUCCAAACAGUUGACCAAAAAAGAGGCUUUCAGUCAACCACUCCAUCCAGUUUUUGCAUGUUUACCUUGAAAAUUACAUACAUGAUAUGACUUUGUUUCUGACCAUGAGGCCUAAAUAACACUGGACUUUCAGCUCACAAAACGAAGCGUUGUCUCUGCUGCCUUAAAAAACUCUGAGCCACAGUUACUCUAUGUACCCAAACAUCCAGAUAUAAGCGGGUGUCUGUGAGAAAAAAAAUGUGCUUUUAUCAGCAUUUUGUGAAGCCUGUGUGGAAUUCUCACACUAUGGCCCAAAUGGGGGGGAAGAAAGCGUGGGCAGGUCGUUGAUAAGAAGAGUCGAGGUUGGCGUUAUCUCUGUAACAGAAGAAAAUGUAAAGUUUUCAUUUCAUAGCUUUAGGUUUAAAAAGCUCAAAUAAAUGUUUUUCUUCCACAGCUGGAGAUGGAAGCUGAUUCCUGAUCUCUGAUUCCUGCAGAUGUCUGUUUUAGGUUGAGCGUGCGGAGCUCCUUGAAAGCUCUUAGUAUGGAAACUCUGUGUGUUUUUGGUGGAAACAAGCAGGGAAAAGAGGGGUCAAGGGUCACAUGGAUCCUCAGAUGUUAGAGGAGUUAGUCCCUUAAGGGAACAUCCGGAGCGCUCUCAAACAUCAACUAACACAUGCAGUCUUUGUUUGCUGUGAAAGUCCUGUUUUACUUUGGGAUUUUCAUAUAAGAAGGGAGUUCUUUUGCUAAGACAUAAUCUGGCAUAACACACAGAAAUGGCAACUCCAGGAAUGACUUCUAUUUGACUGAAAGAGAGAAGGAACAACAGGGAUACCGGAAAACAUGAAGAGGGUCAGUCAGACAAAGUUUGGAGAAGUCAAGGAAUCUGAACUUCUUGGUUGGAUUUGUGAAAGAACGUGUUUGGAUGAGCCUGAUAGUUCAGUAAGUCAAGUUAGGUAAAAAAUAAAUAAAUAAAAAACACUGUUAAGAUCAUUAAGUUUGUGACUCAGUGUUGUCGACCUUUUCGUGUACAGACACACUCAACGUUAAUGUAUCAAAACAAUAUUCCCAUCCCUGUAAAUGCAUAACAGCGAGUGGGUUGUCCUUCCCCUUUUCUUCUAUUUCCUCAAUUUAACUGAUUGUAUUGUUUUAUUUUAGAAAUUUCCCGAAAAGUUCUAACAAUAUUGUUAUUGUGAGAAUAUCUGUGAGGGGAAAAUCUAAUUCUGUGACAGUCUGAAAACGAAUUGGAAAAAUUGAGUAACUCUAUUUGUUAUGAAUGAAAUAAACUGCCAGUUUUUGAGUUUCCCAAACCCUGUCAGCUCAGGGUUUGGGGGUUUAUAUUGUGAUAUGAAUUCUUCUAAAUGCUGAUAUAAAAUCAUGACACUAUAUUUCUAGUUUAAGGAUAAUAAUGACCUGUUUCCAAUCCAAUCCAAUCCGCUUUAUUUAUAUGGCACAUUUUAAAAAACAUUCAUGUCUACCAAAGUGCUGCACAAUAAAACUAAAAGAACAGACAAUGCUGAAAACAUCAAGAUGAAAUAAAUAAAAGCAGGUAAAAAACAUUCAAAUAAAAUAAAUGAAAUAAAAACACAAAAGCAUAAAAGUGAUAAAAGGACCAUAAAAAGACAUUAAAGGACAGAGAUCACACUACUCUCAUGCGGAGCUAAAAGCCAAGGAAUAAGAAUGAGUUUUAAGAUGUGAUUUAAAAGUAGAAAGAGUGGGGGAUGUUUUAAUCUCGAGUGGCAAUUUGUUCCAUAAUUUGGGAGCCACGGCAGAGAAAGCUCAGUCGCCAGAGGUUUUUAAACAAGUUUUUGGUACCACGAGUCGGAGCUGAUCAGCAGACCUCAAGGAACGUGUAGGGGUGUAAACAUUUAGGUCAGUUAACCUGUUUCAAGGUUCCCUGUCCUGCUCUCCUUGAAUUUACUCCAGUGAACCCGCUGUAUUGGUUAUUUUGUUUCAGGCAAAACCUAACAAUGAUCUGCAAUGAUGUAUUUUUAGGUGUUUUUUAAGCAAAUAGUUCUUGGUUCUUUUUUUUUAGUAUUUCUUAGAAAGAGAACACUGAACAAGUGUUGAACUCAGAGGAAAGAAGCUCAUCCUUGUUUUAAAAUCAUACAGCCAUGGCGACGGGGAAAAAAAAAAAUUCCUCUGCCUUCAGCAGAUUAUGUGAAACUGUCUGCUCCAAAUCACACUGCUUUGAUUAAACCUGAAAGCAAAAUCGAGCUCACUUUGCCCUCAUUUUCUGUCUCAAUCUGUCAGAUGGAGAAGCGCUUCAACAAUAGCACCACGCCUCUUCUAUCAGAUAGAGGAAGUCGCCUCUGUUUAUACACGUUUGUUUGUUUUGUGUUUAUAUGAUAACCCUCCUCGUUUAAACUCUUCACCUUCCUCUCUUAUUGUCUCCAUGUGGCUCAAACUGGUGCAACUGGAAAGCCUCUUGUGUUUGCGUGCGAUGCGCUGUUGUAGGUCAUGCUAUCAUCCUGAGGGCAGUGGGAUGUUGUCAGCAAUAAGAAUUAGUUUCUAUUAUUAGCAGUGCAGCAGAUUUUCCUCGUGGCCUCAUGGCUCUGGUGCUCAUGAAUGAUCUUGUGUUGAACUGAACAGACUUUGAUGUGAAAAUCAGGGAGGUUUGACGUUUAAGAUCCCCCCACUCCCACACACACACACACAGCUGAGAACAGACUCCUCGCUCUUUAAAUGCCUCUCAAGACGCAUGAUUUUUGGUGUUUGAUUUUUCACCCCAUUCUCCAUCUUGGUAUUGGUGCUAGAAGCUUAAAUACACCAAUAAGGAUCACACAAACGCACCGAGAAGGGUGGCCUUUAAACAAAUUGUAAACUCCAUUAAUCUUCAUCACUAUGCAGAUGAUACCCAGCUGUGCUUAUCUGAUAAUCAAGAUGAAAUCAAGGAGUUUGCUCAACUCAAAGUGUGCCUUAAGGGCGUAAAGACUUCACAGUCUUGCAGUUUUAUGUUGUAUAACUCUCUGACAGAUCUAUUAUGAUCCAAACACUCAAGAGGAUAUAAUGGCAUCAGCUCGACAUCCUGCACCAGGAGUUACAUUUUAUCAGGAUAUGUUCAUUUCAUCUUCUAAAUCUGACAGAUUUUAAGAGCCGUCUAUUUUUGGUGAGGUACAGCCAGUCUCAGUCAGAACAAUGCAGGAAAAAUAGUCAUUCACUAUUUGUUUAAGUGCAUUUGUUUGAUUUUUUUCAGCUCCAUAAUAUCAGGCUGCUCUGACAAGGGUUGAAGAUGAGAUGACCCUCAGUCCAUCCACCCCUCUGUCUCUGGCGAUCUCUUGCUCUGUUUUAGAUGUCUAGUCUGUGAAAGGAGGCGUAAAGCAAACGAAUUGACCCUCACAGGUAGAUUUGGUGCUUUUGGUCUCUCCGUUUUUUUGUUUGCUGUCAAUAUCCUCUUAGCGCAAAUCCUCCAUCCGCAUAAUCCUGAGCUGGCACCGUCCGCCGGGUUGCCCCCUCCCUCACUUAACCAACUUGCUCCUCUUGACUCUAAACUGGAUCACUUUUUAUGCCCUCAGAACCACUUUUAUCUGAAACAGACUUUUUGUUGUUUGUCUUAUCAGCCCAGGUUGGAUUGGAAAUGAUUUGAAUGUGGAAAUAUAUAAGAGAAGAUUUCAUUUCACCCAUGUGGAGUUCUGCAGAUCUAGGUCAGCUCUUCGUAAAUAUGGUGGAUCAUAUUUCCCAUGUUCUUUCCUCAUACAUACCAGGGAACAUAUGUGUAUGUGAAACCUGCUGACAGAUGAGCUAUAAUGCUCUUCUCUCUCUCCUGGUAAUGACUGUGUCUUAGUAACACAGCCCACUCUCAGAAUGGGAAGAAGAAAUACGAACGUGAGCUAAAAAAGGACGAUUGAUCAGAGUUACAGAACGAUGAGUGGCAGGUGGCUGAGUUACAGAGUAGCUGCAGCGUUAAAACCAGCAUUUGGAGCCCACAAUAACAAAAUAUUGCUCAUUUGUUUGACAUGGUGCUGUAGAAAUUAUGCCAAUCACCAAGGGGGACAAAGUGUAGUCAGAAAAUUUAGUCUUGGUAGGAAGUAAGUUGGGCUGGGUGAUAAAACAAUAACGAUAUGUAUUGAAAAUUAAUUUCCCUCAAUAUCAAUAUAAAACACGGUCAAUAUGCUUUUUGAUAGUCGGCAUUCCACCAUGUUUAAGUAGACUAUACAAAAAGCCAAUGAAAAGGGGAGUUGCUCCAUGCUGAACCAAUUAUGUGCUGAAUUAGAACCAAGUAGCAAACAACUGCGUAGUUGUAGGCUGCAACCAUGGCACUUUAACACCCGAAGUCAGUGAGAAAAGAAGAAAACGAGUGCUACCCCCGGCAGAAAUGCAGAUGAAGGCUCAACAGAUGACGACAUUGUCAACAAUACUGGCGCGAAAACAUCGGUGGUGUGGAGGUAUUUUGUUUUUUUUUUUAAGGCGGACAUGAAGCAGAGUAAUGUACACUGCAAAUCAUGUCAAGGACAUGUUCUCUCAAAGUCGGGGAAUACCUCAAAUCUUUUUCACCACCUGAAGCAGUGCCGUGCGGCAGAGCACGCACAAUGCAAAAGGUUACAAACCCCAAGUGGAGCAAGGAGCCCAUGGCGUCUGUGCACCCGAAACAGCCGACCAUUCAGUCCGCUUUCUCUAACGCAACACCUCACGACAAAACGUCCAAGGGACACAAAGACCUCACAGAUGCAGUUGCUUAUUGUAUUGCAAAAGACAUGCUACCAAAAAACACUUCUCAAUUUCAUUCAAGAGUAACAGAGAACAUUUAAGAUUGACAAGUGAUUUUUUUUAAAUAUCUUGACAUUAUAUCGAUAUCGACUGAUAUGAGAAAAAUAUAUUGUGAUAAACUUUUCCCAUAUCGCCCAGCCCCAGAAGUAAGGGGAGAAAAAGGAAGAAUUGAAUGCAGUAAGAGUUGGACAUGAGCCUGGACGUUGCAGUUCGAGUUGGCACUCUUACCUCUGAAGAAUUAAACUAUUGAUUUUCUGCACCAGCUGUGCUCUACCAAUUUGAAAGACUUUUUUGGCACCCCCAAACUGCUAAUUUUCUUUUUUUUUUCACUUGGCUCAGUGUUUGAGCAGUUUUGAUCAUUUUGAAAGGGUGAUGUCACUUCUUUAAAACAGCUGAUGCCUCAUUUUUUUUCGCAGAGGAAAAACAUCCCCGCUCUUCAGUGCAAAUAUUUCUGGGACACCAUCCAGUGUUUUACAGCGUGGUGAGUUCACUGCUGAGCCAACGGGCCAGACUCUUGUCUGCCUGAUGAGGAAACACAAGCCCACCAUAGUUGACUGAGCCGCUGAGUGAAGCCUUUUGCUUUCCAUGACACUGGUCUGAUUGUAGAGGUUAAGGAAAAGGUUGGAAAAAGUCUGUUUUCAAGGCCAACAUUCCCAGCAUGUUGGCUCCAGAUCUAACAUCUGAGAAUAGAUUUAUUGGGAUAAUCCUCUGAAGACGUUUGUAAGAAGUCUGUUUCAGUUCGACACACGUCUUCAGAAAACUGACCACUCAUAAAGGGGAUCUGUGGAGGACGACCAGCGCUCGGCACGAGCUGUAAUUUAAAUGGCUGCACGUUUUUUUUAUUUGAGUAAAGUGUUCUGACUCUUUGGAAGCUUUCUGUGGUUGUCCCCAUUUGGUUGAUUUCCUUGGCAGUUCAGCUGGAGAACUCGAUGAACUCUCGAUCUCGCCCCUCCUUCUUCGAUGAGGAAAAAUCCCUCCCACCUCUUGGAAUCAAGGCCAUGGUUCAGAAUCAGUGAAAAGGUGCAUUACAGCACCAGCGGAUCCUCUUCAGUUUUAGUGAUGCAUGAUUGUGGCCUCUGUCUCUGCUGUCACCAGCUGAGUCGCAGUAGCAUGUGUUGUUCACUCAAUCUGCUUUUAAACUCCAUAUUUUGAAUUGAAUCUCCUAUUCCACCUCGAUCCUUCAUUGUUUUACUAUCUUGUCAUGUGUCAGCGCCAAUUAAACAAGUCCAAGUCCCCCGGCAGCUGUUGUUCUUGGCGAGUUGAAA